GUCCUGAAGGAACGUUGAAGACGACGACGUUGAUAGGCCGGGUGUGUAAGCGCAGCGAUGCGUUGAGCUAACCGGUACUAAUGAACCAUGAGGCUUAACCUU
rnacentral:rRNA from 1 species